UGGUCAUGUCUAGACAGAGAAAUACACUGG
rnacentral:piRNA from 1 species